rnacentral:lncRNA from 1 species
CCCGCCGCCAUCCGUCCUGGCGCUCCGGAUGAGUCAAUGAGGGGCAGGGCCCGAGGAGUGGUCUUCCCAAGAACCCCUGGUGGCCUCCCAAGGCCGGUGCUGUGUACCUCCUCCCCGACAAAAGGGGAAACUGAGGCCCCGAGGGGAGUGGGAAGAGCCGGCUGGACGUCAGGCCCAGCCGCUGGUGCAGUGGUCCGUCCCCUCCGCCGGGGUGGGCCCCUCGGGUUUCGCGUGUCCUCGGGAAAGAGACUGGCGGGCCUCGUGGGCUGUGCGGCUAUCCUGGAGACAGAUGACAGCUCUCCCUUGGAUGGCUUUGCUGGUUCCGCACCAGCCAGCGCCCCUAUUUUUCCUGCAGCACCCUGAUCUGCACUCCCUGAGGGGCUCCCACUGUCCGCGGUGUGAGGAUGUCCCUGGAUAGUCCACUGUGUGCAGAGGCAUGGGAGUUGUCAUGUCGAGAACAUGCUAGACCUCAGUGUCCUUGAGCUUGAAGAAAGACGACAGAACACUGGAGACCAAGUACUUGCAGCCUUCUGCUCUGUGGCCCCUCCUCACUCCAGGGAUGCCGCCUUGGGUCUGGAAAUUGUUAGAGGAAACCCCAAGAGGUGCAGGCACUGAGCCUCUCAGGACAAUGACCUGGGGUCCCAGCUCCCCUGGAGGGGCCUCCUCAUGAUUGUUUGGGGCUUGAUCACAGACCAAGAGUGACGAGUGAUGUCACCCUGUGACUCAUGGCCGGACCUUCUUGCCCCUAUUGUCUCAGCACAACAUUAUUUGACUUUUCCCUCAGCGUGGGUGGGCAGAGGAAAAGCCCUGUGGCUCUGGGGACUUGGGAUCCGGAGUUGAAGACCCUUCAGCUGGCUCUGCCCUGCCAGUGCCACAGAGUGCCAUGGCCCAGGAAGACAGGUUUUCUUCCAUCUAGGCCAGGCCAUCCAGUGGCCAUCCUCCGUGUCCUCCCGCCUCCUCCUGGUGUGACUUCUGAAAACCAAGAAUUUGUUCCUGUUGACUUUUUCUGUGCUAUGGACCAUUGUCCUCUCACCCACUCAAUAAAUCUUGAAACAUGC